GUAGGGAAUAUUGCGCAAUGGACGAAAGUCUGACGCAGCGACGCCGCGUGAGUGAUGAAGGCCUUAGGGUCGUAAAGCUCUGUUGAAUGGGAAGAAAAAAAUGACGGUACCAUUCGAGGAAGGACCGGCUAACUUCGUGCCAGCAGCCGCGGUAAUACGAGGGGUCCUAGCGUUGUUCGGAAUCAUUGGGCGUAAAGGGUGUGUAGGUGGCCAUGUAAGUCAGGUGUGAAAGCCCCGGGCUCAACCCGGGAAGUGCACUUGAUACUGCGUGGCUUGAGUACCGAAGAGGGUAGUGGAAUUCCAGGUGUAGUGGUGAAAUACGUAGAUAUCUGGAGGAACACCGGUGGCGAAGGCGGCUUACUGGUCCAUUACUGACGCUGAGGUGCGAAAGCGUGGGGAGCAAACAGGAUUAGAUACCCCGGUAGUCC
rnacentral:rRNA from 1 species